rnacentral:rRNA from 1 species
CGCGUAGGCGGGUUUCCAAGUCGGGGGUGAAAUUCCAGGGCUCAACCCUGGGACGGCCUUCGAUACUGGCAGCCUGGAGAUCGGGAGAGGUGAGUGGAAUUCCGAGUGUAGAGGUGAAAUUCGUAGAUAUUCGGAGGAACACCAGAAGCGAAGGCGGCUCACUGGCCCGAGACUGACGCUGAGGCGCGAAAGCGUGGGGAGAAACA